rnacentral:lncRNA from 1 species
GAGGACUCGGCAGGACUCUUGUCUUCUUGGAGGCUACUGUCAGAAAACAUCACAAUCUAGCAGGAUAACGGAGCACGUUGACGUCGGCUGGGCGGCGCAUGUCCGCCCCGCCCUUGGGGGCUUCAAAGUUUCUCAGAACUUAAGGGUUCUUGAGCUUCCAUCCGAAAACUGCCACACAUCUUGAGCUCGCGGGGUACUACGCCGAACGGGGGUGUGUGAAGGACCUGGAAAGAGGUUGGAGACAGAGGAAGGAAAAGACCCAGAUCCAGUACCAGCUUCAUCAGGGAGCUUGUUGGAAAUGCAGAUUCUUUGGACUGACCUCAGAGUCACCAGAUCAGAAGCUGCACAGGGUGGAGGACUGUCUACAUUAAGCAGCCGUCAGUCUAAUACAACUUAACUCAAAAUACAGAGUAGGUAGGAAACCAGAAGCUUUGACAGUCAUAAGCAGAGAGACCCACGGACCAUGAGAUUGUCCCUUCCGUGACCCUACUCUUUUAGGAUUAAGAGACAAACUCAGGGGAAUUCCUAAAAGUCCUUCCGUGGAGUUCAAAGUUCUAGUCUAUCCUGUGUCCAUCUAUCACUCACCUAAUUGGUCCAGGUUCCUCACCAAGUAAGAAGCCUGCAUGAGACAACAUUCUAGUUAUCAUCCGUCAGGCAGACAGGAGUUUUCAAGUGCUUCCUACGGCAACGGUGGUGACCUGCCACAUGGAUACAACUAAGCAGUGGGCAUGUAAUACAGCCAGCCGCAUGGCUGUCUGCUCCUCACCGAGCAACAGCACGUGGGAACAGCUAAGUCCAGCCACAUGGCUGUCUGCUCAUCAAUCACCGAGC